GUCUAAGGCCAUGCCGCCCUGAACACGCCUGAUCUCAUCUGAUUUCGGAAGCUAAGCAGGGUUGGACCUGGUUAGUACUUGGAUGGGAGACCACCUAGGAAGACCAGGUGCUGUAGACG
rnacentral:rRNA from 1 species